AGCUGGGUUGAAUUAAAAGAUUUUGGACAUCCACAUUGGAUUUGAUAGGUUUGCCUUUUUUCAAGUCUGUCGUAAAACGAUACUCACAUAACCAUUUGUGCAUUGAAACAGCCAGUAUGAACAGGAGGAAUGAUUACAGCAACCAAAAACUGAAAAGAUCCCUUCCAUAACGUGAUUCCAAUGUAAGAGAUGGUGGACAGAAUCUACAGGCCUCCUUCUUUGCAUGAAUGUGUUUAAAGUUCGGCUAAAGUUAAUAUGAGGCUUCAGCAGUCUGUUAGUCAAAUCACAUUUUUUUCAGUAUGAAAUUCCCUCCUUGUGUUACUGUCCCUCCACUGGCUCAGCAAGAAAACACCGUCCAGGGAAGACUGAUUAUUUUCACUACUGAUUACUGCAGAUUAUUUUCUCGAUUAAUCAAAAAAGUCUGUUUAUGAAAUGUGAAAGAAAAAAAAGUGAAAAAAAAAUGCUCAUCACAGUUUCUCACAGUCCAAGCGUACAUCUUAAAAUGUCUCAUCUUGUCUGACCAACAGUCCAAAACCCCCAAAUUAUUCAGUUUACAAUGUUUUCAGAGAAAAUCAGCAAAUCAUCACAUUGGAGAAGCUGCAACCACAGAAUGGUUGACAUGUUUGCCUAAAAAAUGACUGAAAGGAUUAUUUAUCAAAAUAGUUGCAGAUAAAUUUGAUUUCGAUCAACUAAUCAAUUAAUGAACUAUUCGUUUCAGCUCUGUACCAAAAAGACUGUAACUUAGGGAAAUAACCACUUGAUUUGACUAACUCAGACUGCUGAAGCCUCAUUUAACCUCGGCUGAACUUUAAACACAUUUUCACAGAACGAGGACUGCAGACAUUAAAACUGCAUCAUGAGGGGAUCUCUUCAGGGCCAGUAUGGACAACAACCAAUAACUCUUUCAGUGCACAUAUGGGCAAGUGAAUAUUGUUUUAAGACAUACUUUUAAAAAGAAUGAACCUAUCCUUUAAGGCUUCUGUCAAAAUGCAAAUGUUUCAGGAAUCCAGGGAUGAACAAACAACUGUGGUGAAAUGUCAACUGACUAUACACACCUGCGAUCAGACACUUCCUGUUAUCAUUCCACAUGAGCCAUUAAGCAGGAAGAUGUGUGUUUGUAUGAGUGUGUGUGUGUGUGUGUGGUUCAUGUACAGUGGCUAAUGUUAUGUACUCUGCAAUGUUGCUCCCACAUAAUAGGAGUACUGGGGUCAAAGGUCUCUCUGCCUCUCUCUCUCUCUCUCUCUCUCACACACAAACACACACACACACAGCUUUCUAGUCUGCAGAGUGUGUGUUCUCAGUGUAUGACCCGUGUUGUUUACAUCCUCAUUUCCGGCUUUGUUGAUGACCUACGCUACAUCUCUGGAACUAACAGUGACCCCACAGUGACCCUGGUGAAUUGAAAGCGGCUGCAUGUGUGUUUUUGUGUUCAUGCGCUCGUCCCUUCCCAAAUCGAGUGAUCGUGAACCCCCAUCCCCUACUAUUUUCCCAACUUCCCCUCCUCUGACGCCCUCGCAAUUUCUCUCCUUCCCACUGGCAUUUGAAAUCUUUCCGUGACAUCAGAGCUGGGUUGACAGUAAACAAGUUCCCUCAUGGGGAGACUAAGCUAAAAGGGAAAUUCAGUGGGAAUGAGGAGCUAUAAGCACCAUACUAUCUGUUCCCACUUCUCUUGGCUCCUCCUCCUUCCUAUCCCUUUCCUGUCAUUUCCUAUCCUGCAAUCUGCCAUGAAGAGUGAAAUCACUGAGUGAAGAUCUGAAUGUUGAGCUGGAAGGCGAGGGCCGCGUGGUGGCUCUCCAGCACGGCUGUGUCGUUGUAGAGGAUCGCCAGUUCACUACCGGCGUUACACAGGAAGGAGUUGGUCCUGCCCGGGUGGUCCACAUCGUGCACUGUGGCUGCUAUCAGCGCCGCCACCUCAUCUAGCUGAUCCAGACUGCUCUGAAUAAAACAGCAGAGACACAGAGUGAUGUCAGUACUGGAAGCAUUUGGUCAAUUUUUUGAAGAAGUAGGCAGUAGCAUGCAGCACGUCUGCAGCAUGCGUGGAGUUGUGGUAGGAGUUGGAGGAGUGGUAGCUGGCCUCAAUGAGCUGCAGCCAGGAGCGCAGCGUGGCCUCCGAGCAGUUCAGGAACUCACACACACCGAAACUAGUGAAGAUCUUCAGCCCGAGGAGACAGAGAAGAUUUAACCACAUUUUUGAAGCUGCCUCCAGCUCCAGGAUGUUGAACUCCCAGCACUCCUCAUCAUUCAGCAUCUCGGCGAUGGGUGGAGGGACGUCAUUCAGAGUGACUGGGAUGGCCAGCUGGCUCUGGCUCAUAUCUAGCAGAUAGACAGAAGCGUGCAC